GGGUCUCUUUCACUGGACCAGAUUUGAGCCUGGGAGCUCUCUACCAGUGAAGGAACCCAC
rnacentral:pre_miRNA from 1 species